UGAGUAUAUUAUAUAAUAUAUAGUUUUUGUUCAUGAUAUCAACAAGUUCCCCUGGUGCAUAUCUUGGUGGUAGUAGUAAAUAUUCAAAUGAGAACUUUGAAGAGUGAAGUGGGGAAAUGUUCCAUGUGAACAUCACUUGGACAUGGGUUAGUUGAUCGUAAGAGAUGGGGAAUCCUUGUAUCAAGGGUGCACUCUGCAUGAACAUCAAAAGAGAAUUGGGUUAAUAUUCCUGAACCGGGACAUGGUGGUGGAUGACAAUGUUAGGAAAUCUGGAGAUGUCAUCGGGGGCUUGGGAAGAGUUAUCUUUUCUUUUUAAUGACUUUCCCACCUUGAAAUUGGUUCAACCGGAGAUAGGGUCCAACACCUGGAAGAGCACCACAUGUCUUGCAGUGUUUGGUUCCCCUUGGAUGACCAUUGAAAAUAUGGAGAACCGAAUUGAGUACCAUCCAUGCCUGAUCAUACUCAUAUCUGCCUCACAUUUUUCAAUGCCCACUAGGU
rfam:Picea glauca, whole genome shotgun sequence.